UUAAGUGACUUGCCUAAGGUCACACAGGAAGUCUGUGGCAUCGCCAGGCACCGAACCUUUUAAGUCCCAAUCCAGUGCAUAAAACAAAAGGCCAUCCUUCCUUUAAAAGUAAAAAUACUCAAGGGCUGCCUUGAAAGCAAACUUUACAACUAAUUUUAGAAAUCUGAUUUGAUUCCAUAUCCUCUAGGUAAGUUUUCAGUCUGAAAGGAUCCCACUACAUCUUUAGAUUCCUUUAAAUAGUUUUGAUAACUAAACUGCUUCUUAAACAAUGUCCAACAACAACAAAAAAUGUAAAACCUAUAAACGCCUACCUGAGUCCUUUUCUAGUGGGCAUAUUAAGGCGAUGCCUUACUGCAAAAAGUGGUGUUUUUUACCUUGAGAUAGCGAUCUCAAUGCAAAAUCCCAGUGGAGACAGGAGAUGGGUAGUUUUUAUCUCAGCGUAUCUAGUCAAGGUCUACCCCAUACUCCUCACCUGGGUUUUUACCUUGAUGUAGCUAGUCAGGGUAAAAACUACCCAUAACCUGUAUCCACUAGGAUUUCCCAUUGCAAUUCCUAACUUUCUUCUCUCCCCGCAAAGACGACAUACCCGAAAAAGAAUGCCAAUACUGUAGCUGUCAACAUGGCUGGUCUUAGUAUAGUAUGCACUAAUAUAACACCUUCAGAAUAUUUGGCAACAAUUCUUACUUUAUUUCAGAUCCGCUGCACUUGUUUCUGAGAUGCUUCAUCAUAUUCAGAGAUGCAUUUAAAAUGGUUAUCAAAGUGCUCUUAAAUAAAGAGGAAUAUUUUUCUGCAUCCAAGUUCUUUGAAAAAAUUAAAGUUCAACAGUAAAUUGAGACAUCUUUCACUAACACUUUAGUGAUAAUACAAUUUCAAACAAGAAGCUCGUCAUGCAAAAGAAAAUGAUUAUUAUACUGAAAUGUCUACAUGAAACCAGGAACAAUCACGCUUUAAAAAAAAAAAAAAAAAAAAAAGA